rnacentral:rRNA from 1 species
UACGGAGGGUGCAAACGUUGCUCGGAAUCAUUGGGCGUAAAGCGCACGUAGGCGGCCUGAUAAGUCGGGUGUGAAAGCCCUGGGCUCAACCCAGGAAGUGCACUCGAAACUGUCAGGCUUGAAUAUGGAAGAGGGUCGCGGAAUUCCCGGUGUAGAGGUGAAAUUCGUAGAUAUUCGCAAGAACACCAGUGGCGAAGGCGGCUCACUGGCCCGGUACUGACGCUGAGGUGCGAUAGCGUGGGGAGCAAACAGG